rnacentral:lncRNA from 10 species
CUAAAGGGUUAAGCAUUCUUAACACACUCAAGUGUUUUUUUUUUCUGCAUGAGACAAACAAACAAAAUCCUUAAGAGUGUUUUUCUUGGGUUACAAAGUUAUGUUAAAUAAAAAUAAAAAUGGAGGGAAAACCUUUGCUUCUGAGCCAAUGGCCCACACCAGCUCAAGAAAACUUAUAAAGACCGAUUCUGGAAAUGUCAGAAAUGAAGCUUGAGCUUUAUUUCCUUGUAAGCAUGACUCAGCACAUGCAGACAAUCAUCUAUUACCUACGUAACCUGCUCUGAUCAUCCUAAAAGGAAAGAUACUGUAAAAUAACCAAUGAGAAUCAAGAUGUAUGAACUUCUUUUUUUCCGUUUUUUAAACCUUAACUAUAACCUUUAGGAGAUGAGCUUCUUGCCAUUUUCUAUUUUGGAGUCUCUGUUCUGGAAUAGUGUGUUCUCAAUAAAAUAUUCAUGUCAAGUAAAA